AGAGUUUGAUCAUGGCUCAGAUUGAACGCUGGCGGCAUGCCUUACACAUGCAAGUCGAACGGCAGCGCGGGGCAACCUGGCGGCGAGUGGCGAACGGGUGAGUAAUAUAUCGGAACGUGCCCUGGAGUGGGGGAUAACGCAGCGAAAGUUGCGCUAAUACCGCAUACGAUCUAAGGAUGAAAGCAGGGGACCGCAAGGCCUUGUGCUCCUGGAGCGGCCGAUAUCUGAUUAGCUAGUUGGUGGGGUAAAGGCCUACCAAGGCAUCGAUCAGUAGCUGGUCUGAGAGGACGACCAGCCACACUGGAACUGAGACACGGUCCAGACUCCUACGGGAGGCAGCAGUGGGGAAUUUUGGACAAUGGGCGAAAGCCUGAUCCAGCAAUGCCGCGUGAGUGAAGAAGGCCUUCGGGUUGUAAAGCUCUUUUGUCAGGGAAGAAACGGUGUGGGCUAAUAUCCCGCACUAAUGACGGUACCUGAAGAAUAAGCACCGGCUAACUACGUGCCAGCAGCCGCGGUA
rnacentral:rRNA from 1 species